GUUAUUUGUCAGCCAAGUUCUACCCAGCUGUAACAGGGAGAACUGGCUCCAGAUGAUCACCCCAAAAAGAGAUGAUAUGAGAAGCCCCAGUCUCUGCUGGAAUGAAAAGGACAGCAUUGCUGCAGCAACUGUAAUGAAGGACAGUGGAUGAACACUCAGGCUAGCUGUUUCUCAAGACCCCACAGACCUGCGUGAAGGAGGUGCUGUGAUGAUGAUGUCACUGCUGAAGGAGGACAGACAGAAGGGGAAGACUUAACUCUCUAAUCUCCCCCUCACAUGUGGCUUUCACCAUGUUUAAUUUUUCAGUCUAUUUUUUUUGUGG
rnacentral:lncRNA from 1 species